AUGGAACUUGCAUUCUCAAAAAACAGGGCUCGUUCACCUGGCUUCUCACUUCGGAAUUCUAGAGGAAUGGUUGACCUAACGCAUGAACCAACUAUCCGAGAUUCUGCCUUCCGCUUUGAAAACAUUGGGAAGGGGUCGGGCUUUCAGCUGAUUCGAAAGGGAUGGUCAAGCCAAGGAAAGAUUCGAUUGCCGGCAAGCGGGAAGGUCAAGUGGGUUUUGUUAUAUACACAAUGUCAUGGAUGGAUUAAAUAA